CGCACACACUGCUAAAACGUGGGGUUUUGGACCUAUGCACGGUCCCGUGUUAACGCAGGGACCGCGUUACCAUGGAUUCCAAUGACGGUAAUUAAAUUUGGGAUCCAUCCGUGAUCCCGCGCUAUAACCAAAUUUGCGCUAUAUGGACGCACAUUCUAGCAAGGGUCCGCUGUGUGUGGGAAGAAGAAUCACAAAUCAUGAUUUCAUGCAUAAGUAUAAUAAUCCUCCUCCUAGUUUCUUGAAGUCCUAAGUGAACAGCAGUCACUACUCAUUUAAAAGUGAAAUUCAAAUGGGUUGGAAUAUCAAAUCAUCAUUUUCUACCAUUCAAAUAAUCCUUGACAUUUUUUGCUUAUUUUUCAGCUUAUUUUCCCCAAACAGUGUAAAUAGUUUAUCUUCAGUAUCUUUUCCUAUUUUCCUCUUACUGCAAUGAAGAAUUCUCUCUUCAUUUGAUAUUUUCUGUUUUUUAAACUGAAGGUAAAUCCCUCUGCAAAGAAACAGUUUUGUUAGUCUUGUCUAAUCUGUGAUUAAAACCUUGGGUUAGGAAAACCAGCUCCAUGGAGACUUGUGUGCAGUGGUUAGUUCAAAGGUUACCAAUAAUACUGCUUACCAGCCAAAGCACUGUAUUGAAAUUAGCAAAUGUACUUCACAGAGUUCAGCACUGACUUCAUAGCUGUGUUCACUUACUGUUUCCCUGUGGUUUAUCUAGUCAUGUAUCAGAUAUUUUCAGUACUCCCUGCACUUUCAAUGAUGUAAUAAAUUUGUACUCAUGAAGUUCGGCUAACAGACAUGCAGCAAGAUCAGUUUAUUUUGUAGUGUUGGUAAUGAGCAAUUUAAACUGCUAUACAGAGACAGGGUCUGGUUUGAGCAGGCAAACUCUUGCUUAACAUUCCCAAAUGUCUUUCAGUUCUUGGGAGAGGUAGGAAAAUGAGGGCAAAGAAAGAAAUGUUGCAUCAUUUUCUGUACAUUUGGACUUAUUCUAGCAAAUGGGCUCCCAGAUCCUCACUAAUGAGUGUGGUUAUUUCUUAUUUCAUAAAUUACUAUGCAGUUUGGUUCACUGUAUUAUCUGUAUUUAGUGAUUGCAAGAUACUUAUGCCACUGAUUUGAAUUCCAUCCAAGAUAAACUGAAGAAGUUAUUUGAAUAAUGCGUAUAUCGGUAUCCUUAACUGCAAAAAUGUAAAUUUGAAACUUGUAUAAUGUUGUGCUUUUGAAAUAAAAUAUCUUGUACAUGUAUAUUUAAAAGAGGAAAUAAAGUAACUUCUCAUACA